GACGGAGGAUGCAAGCGUUAUCCGGAAUGAUUGGGCGUAAAGCGUCCGCAGGUGGCAGUUCAAGUCUGCUGUCAAAGACCGGGGCUUAACUUCGGAAAGGCAGUGGAAACUGAACAGCUAGAGUAUGGUAGGGGCAGAGGGAAUUCCUGGUGUAGCGGUGAAAUGCGCAGAUAUCAGGAGGAACACCGAUUGCGAAGGCAGCUCGCUGGAACGUUACUGACGCUGAGACGCGAAAGCGUGGGGAGCAAACAGG
rnacentral:rRNA from 1 species